GGUAGAAACAUAAUUAAUUUUUGUGACUAGGAUGAGAUAUAACCUUUUACAAAAUUUAUUAUUUCAUUUAUUCAUUGAAUUUCUUUAGCCCUGUUAUCACACCAAAGACAGGACCUGUAUGGAUCUAUUUCUGGCCUUUUAAAUUUUUAUUCUAUUUGCCUGUUUGAUUUAUAUUACAUGUACUAGUGAAAAACCAUCAUAAUUAUUGAAGCUUUGCAGGGAAGUUGAAAUAAAAUACAUAAAUUUUGAGGGUUUCUUGCUUUUGUAUGCGUUUUAUAGCUAAUUGCUCUUCUAUACACAUUAAAGAUUUAGCCAAUUUUGGUAUAGAUAGACAUGAAUUUAGAGGUCAAUUUAAAAAGAAUAGCACAUUAGCCAAGUAGAAUGAAUAUAUUAAUGAAGUGAAAGAUCAUUUGAAGGACUCAAAUGGAAAGUACUAAAACUGGUAUAUUUGUAAAGUUGAGCUAUUAUUUUCCGGUUAUAUUUUAGAAUUUUUAAAGUAGAACUCUUGAACAAGGCUAUUAGAUUUAUAUUCAACUCUUGAGUAUUGCUAUAAUCUAAAAUGUUACUUUAACUUGUGUUUUGAUUUAUGUACUAAUAUUGUAUAAGAUUAAUAGUUUUUAAAAGAGUAUCUUUCAUGUUGUAACUUUGCCAAAUUAAUUUUUUGGUGUUAUUUAUUAUUUGCAAUAACUUACUUGAAAGCAUUGUGUUGUAUUCCUUUUCUGAAUUAAUACAUUUUAUUUAUUUUUCUUGCUUUAUUACACUAGCUAACAUUUUGAAAAAAAAAGCAUGAAUUCAUAUGAAGGAAAACCACAUCCAAAUAUCUAUGCUCUGGGGUGAAGAAGUAAGUGUUUUAUUUAAGCGCUGUGUUAGCUGUGUGGUGGUGAUGAUGCUGUCUGUAGACUGAAGAAACUUUUCUCUUUUCUAGGAAAACUAACAGUUCUUACUGCUCUUCUCAGCAUGAAGGUGUUAAAUUAUAUUAAAAGCAUUUCUUC
rnacentral:lncRNA from 1 species